rnacentral:rRNA from 1 species
GAUGAACGCUAGCUACAGGCUUAACACAUGCAAGUCGAGGGGAAACGACAUCGAAAGCUUGCUUUUGAUGGGCGUCGACCGGCGCACGGGUGAGUAACGCGUAUCCAACCUGCCCAUCACUUGGGGAUAACCUUGCGAAAGUAAGACUAAUACCCAAUGAUAUCUCUAGAAGACAUCUGAAAGAGAUUAAAGAUUUAUCGGUGAUGGAUGGGGAUGCGUCUGAUUAGCUUGUUGGCGGGGUAACGGCCCACCAAGGCAACGAUCAGUAGGGGUUCUGAGAGGAAGGUCCCCCAACUUGGAACCGAGACACGGUCCAAACUCCUACGGGAGGCAGCAGUGAGGAAUAUUGGUCAAUGGGCGAGAGCCUGAACCAGCCAAGUAGCGUGCAGGAAGACGGCCCUAUGGGUUGUAAACUGCUUUUAUAAGGGAAUAAAGUGAGAGUCGUGACUCUUUUUGUAUGUACCUUAUGAAUAAGGACCGGCUAAUUCCGUG